UCUUUCUCUUCAGGUUUGGCCUCUGGCUUUGUAUCUUUCUUCACCUCCUUCUCUUCAGGCUUGGACUCUGGUUCUGCAUCUUUUGUGGCUUCUUUCUCUUCAGGUUUAGACUCUGCUUUUGCUUCUUUCUCCUCGGGUUUGGACUCUGGCUUUGCUUCCUUCUUAACCUCUUCAGGUUUGGCCUCUGGCUUUGUAUCUUUCUUCACCUCCUUCUCUUCAGGUUUGGACUCUGGUUCUGCAUCUUUUGUGGCUUCUUUCUCUGCAGGUUUGGACUCUGGCUCUGCAUCUUUUGUGGCUUCUUUCUCUGCAGGUUUGGACUCUGGUUCUGCAUCUUU